UGAUCAAGCUACUAAGGGCUUAUGGUGAAUGCCUUGGUGCCAAGAGGCGAUGAAGGACGUAGCAAGUUGCGAUAAGCCACGGGAAGCCGCAAGCAGGCGUUAAUCCGUGGAUCUCCGAAUGGGACAACCCAGUCUCGCGUAAGCGGGAUUAUCGACCGGAUGAAUUCAUAGUCCGGCGAAGCGAAACGGGGCGAAGUGAAACAUCUCAGUAACCCCAGGAAAAGAAAACGACGUGAUUCCGUCAGUAGUGGCGAGCGAAAGCGGAACAGGCUAAACCGGGAGGAUUUAUCUUCCCGGGGUUGUGGGACCUUGAUGUGAUAGUCCGACAGUUAGCUUAACCAUCUGGAAAGUUGGGCCAAAGACCGUGACAGCCGGGUGAGCGAAAACUGAAAGACGUCUAGAGGCAUCCCAAGUAGCACGGUGCACGUGAAACUCUGUGCGAAUCUGUCCGGACCACCGGAUAAGCCUAAAUACUCCUUGGCAACCGAUAGUGAACUAGUACCGCGAGGGAAAGGUGAAAAGAACCGCUGUUAGCGGAGUGAAAUAGUACCUGAAACCAUGAGCCUACAAUGUGUUGGAGCCGCGCAAGCGGUGACAGCUUGCCUUUUGCAUAAUGAGUCUGCGAGUUAUUGUCAGUGGCCAGCCUAAAUCUCUUUGAGAUGGAGGCGAAGGGAAACCGAGUGCCAACAGCGCGACCAGUCGCUGGCAAUAGACCCGAAGCGGAGGUGAUCUACUCUUGAGCAGGUUGAAGCUGCAGUAACAUGCAGUGAAGGACCGAACUCGUGGAUGUUGAAAAAUCCUGAGAUGACUUGAGAGUAGGAGCGAAAGACUAAUCAAACCCCGUGAUAGCUGGUUCUCUCCGAAAUCGCUUGAGGGCGAGUCUUAUGGAAGUACCCGGCGGAGGUAGAGCACUGAAUGGCUUAGGGGCCCCACCAGGCUGCCAAAACCAAUCAAACUCCGAAUACCGUCGGUCUCAGUAUCAUAGGAAUCAGGCAGUGAGCGAUAAGGUCCAUUGCCGAGAGGGCAACAGCCCAGACCAUCAGCUAAGGUGCCUAAAUGUGAUUAAGUGGAAAGGAUGUGACGUUGCUUAGACAGUGAGGAUGUUGGCUUAGAGGCAGCCAUCAUUUAAACAGUGCGUAAUAGCUGACUCAUCGAGCGAUGUCGCGCCGAAAAUGAUUGGCGAUUAAAUCACAUACCGAAGCUAUGGAUUCCAUUCUGAUUCGUCAGAGUGGAGUGGUAGGAGAGCGUAAUCAGUGCUGCGAAGCUGGACGGAAACGGAAAGUGGAGCGCUGAUUAGUGAGAAUGCAGACACGAGUAGCGAUAAAACAGGUGAGAAUCCUGUUCGCCGUAAACCCAAGGUUUCCUGGGCCAGGUUCGUCCUCCCAGGGUUAGCCGGGAGCUAAGAUGAGGCCGUAAGGCGUAAUCGAUGCACAGCAGGUUAAAUAUUCCUGCGCCCGUUAGGUUAAGGCUGGAAUUGACGCAUGGAGAGACAUGGACUAGGCAAUUGAAUGCUGAGCUUAGGCUUCGGCCGAAGCGCAUCCGUGGGUCUCUGUGCCGAGAAAAGCUUCCAGUUGUUCCCGACACGGCCCGUACCGUAAACCGACACAGGUGGGUGAGUGUAAGCGCACUCAGGCGCGCGAGAGAGACCUCUCUAAGGAACUCGGCACAUUAGCCUCGUAACUUCGGGAGAAGAGGUGCUUGAAACCGCAUCAGCAAUGGCGCGGCGUAAAGCCACAGUAAAUUGCGUUUAGCGACUGUUUAACAAAAACACAGCACUCUGCCAAGUCGUGAAGACGACGUAUAGGGUGUGACAAGUGACCAAUGCGGAAAGAUUAAAACAUUGGGUUAGCCGCAAGGCGAAGCUCGGUGUCCAAGUCCCCGUGAAUGUCGGCCGUAACUAUAACGGUCCUAAGGUAGCGAAAUUCCUUGUCGGGUAAGUUCCGACCUGCACGAAUCUUGUAACGACUGAACGACUGUCUCGGAGAGGAUCUCGGCGAAACUGUAACGGCGGUGAAGAUGCCGCCUGCCCGCAGUAGGACGGAAAGACCCUAUGCACCUUUACUGUAAGCUCGUAUUGGGUUCUGAUUAACGAUGCGUAGCGUAGGUGGGAGACUUUGAAGCGAGUCCUUCGGGGCUCGUGGAGUCGCAAUGUGAAACACCACUCUUUGCUAAUUAGGAUUCUAACCCCGAUUGCUGUUAGCCAGCCGGGGGACAGUGCGUGCAGGUCAGUUUGACUGGGGCGGUUUCCUCCCAAAGAGUAACGGAGGAGCGCGAAGCUUGGUUCAGCACGUUUGGCAAUCGUGCGUUGAGGGUAUGGCUAGAAACCAGGUUAACUGUGAGACGUACAUGUCGAGCAGAUGCGAAAGCAGGCCCAAAUGAUCCGACGGUUUAAUGUGGAAUUGCCGUCGCUCAUCGGACAAAAGGUACGCUAGGGAUAACAGGCUGAUCGGAUCCAAGAGUUCACAUCGACGAUCCGGUUUGGCACCUCGAUGUCGGCUCAUCGCAUCCUGGGGCUGGAGAAGGUCCCAAGGGUCCGGCUGUUCGCCGGUUAAAGCGGUACGCGAGCUGGGUUCAGAACGUCGUGAGACAGUUCGGUCCUUAUCCACUGUGGGCGCAGGAAACUUGAGGGGUUCUAACCUUAGUACGAGAGGACCGGGUUAGACGCACUUCUGGUGUGGCAGUUGUUCCGUCAGGGGCAUCGCUGCGUAGCCAUGUGCGGAAGAGAUAAGCGCUGAAAGCAUCUAAGUGCCAAGCUCCUCCCAAGAUAUUGUUUCCCGGACGCAAGUCCCUAAAGACCACGGGCAGACUACCCGUUUGAUAGGCUAGGAAUGUAAUCACCGUGAGGUGUUCAGUUGACUAGUACUAAUCGGUCGUGCGGCUUGAUCUUAAAU
rnacentral:rRNA from 1 species